rnacentral:rRNA from 1 species
AGUGAACGCUGGCGGUAGGCCUAACACAUGCAAGUCGAACGGCAGCACAGUAAGAGCUUGCUCUUACGGGUGUCGAGUGGCGGACGGGUGGGGAAUACAUCGGAAUCUACUUUUUCGUGGGGGAUAACGUAGGGAAACUUACGCUAAUACCGCAUACGACCUACGGGUGAAAGCAGGGGAUCUUCGGACCUUGCGCGAUUGAAUGAGCCGAUGUCGGAUUAGCUAGUUGGCGGGGUAAAGGCCCACCAAGGCGACGAUCCGUAGCUGGUCUGAGAGGAUGGUCACGCACACUGGAACUGAGACACGGUACAGACUCCGACGGGAGGCAGCAGUGGGGAAUAUUGGACAAUGGGCGCAAGCCUGAUCCAGCCAUACCGCGUGGGUGAAGAAGGCCUUCGGGUUGUAAAGCCGUUUUGUUGGGAAAGAAAAGCAGCAGGUUAAUACCCCGCUGUUCUGACGGUACCAAAAGAAUAAGCACCGGCUAACUUCGUG